GCUUCGGUGGCGUAGUAGUAUUACGCGUCCCCUGUAUGGAUGGGACGCGGGUUCGACUCCCGUGUGAGGACG